rnacentral:rRNA from 1 species
UACGUAGGUGGCAAGCGUUGUCCGGAUUUACUGGGCGUAAAGAGCGCGCAGGCGGUCGUGCAAGUCGCGUGUGAAAGCCCCCGGCUCAACUGGGGAGGGUCACGCGAUACUGCUCGACUCGAAGGCAGGAGAGGGAAGUGGAAUUCCCGGUGUAGUGGUGAAAUGCGUAGAUAUCGGGAGGAGCACCAGUGGCGAAGGCGACUUCCUGGCCUGUUCUUGACGCUGAGGCGCGAAAGCUAGGGUAGCAAACGGG